rnacentral:rRNA from 1 species
AUUGAACGCUGGCGGCAUGCUUUACACAUGCAAGUCGAACGGUAACAGGCCGCAAGGUGCUGACGAGUGGCGAACGGGUGAGUAAUGCAUCGGAACGUGCCCAGUCGUGGGGGAUAACUACUCGAAAGAGUAGCUAAUACCGCAUACGAUCUAUGGAUGAAAGCGGGGGACCGUAAGGCCUCGCGCGAUUGGAGCGGCCGAUGUCGGAUUAGGUAGUUGGUGGGGUAAAGGCUCACCAAGCCAACGAUCUGUAGCUGGUCUGAGAGGACGAGCAGCCACACUGGGACUGGGACACGGCCCAGACUCCUACGGGAGGCAGCAGUGGGGAAUGUUGGACAAUGGGCGCAAGCCUGAUCCAGCAAUGCCGCGUGCAGGAAGAAGGCCUUCGGGUUGUAAACUGCUUUUGUACGGAACGAAACGGCUCUGGUUAAUACCCGGGGCUAAUGACGGUACCGUAAGAAUAAGCACCGGCUAACUACGUG